rnacentral:rRNA from 1 species
GGGUCAGUGGGUUGGUCGUGCCACCGGUACGUACUGGUCUCACUGAUUCCUCCUUCCUGAAGAACCGUAAUGCCAUUAAUUUGGUGUUGCGGGGAAACAGGACUGUUACUUUGAAAAAAUUAGAGUGCUUAAAGCAAGCUAACGCUUGAAUACAUUAGCAUGGAAUAAUGAAAUAGGACGAUCGAUCCUAUUUUGUUGGUUUCUAGGAUUGACGUA